rnacentral:rRNA from 1 species
AGGAUUAACGCUGGCGGCGUGCCUAACACAUGCAAGUCGAACGAGGUAGCAAUACCUAGUGGCAGACGGGUGAGUAGCGCGUGGUCAACCUACCGUUGAGUGGGGGAUAACUAGCCGAAAGGUUAGCUAAUACCGCAUACGUCUCCGAGGGGCAUCCCUUGGCGAUAAAAAGGAGCAAUCCGCUCGAUGACGGGACCGCGUCCCAUUAGCUAGUUGGUGGGGUAACGGCCUACCAAGGCAUCGAUGGGUAGCUGGUUUGAGAGAGCGACCAGCCACACUGGGACUGAGAUACGGCCCAGACUCCUACGGGAGGCAGCAGUGAGGAAUUUUCCGCAAUGGGCGAAAGCCUGACGGAGCGACGCCGCGUGUGGGAAGAAGGCCUUCGGGUCGUAAACCACUGUCGAAGGGGAAGAUAAUGACGGUACCCUUGGAGGAAGCCCCGGCUAACUACGCGCCAGCAGCCGC